UACGUAGGGGGCAAGCGUUGUCCGGAAUCAUUGGGCGUAAAGAGCGUGUAGGCGGUCCGGUAAGUCCGCUGUGAAAGUCAGGGGCUCAACCCUCGAAUGCCGGUGGAUACUGUCGGGCUAGAGUGCGGAAGAGGCGAGUGGAAUUCCUGGUGUAGCGGUGAAAUGCGCAGAUAUCAGGAGGAACACCUAUUGCGAAGGCAGCUCGCUGGGACGUAACUGACGCUGAGACGCGAAAGCGUGGGGAGCAAACAGG
rnacentral:rRNA from 1 species